rnacentral:piRNA from 1 species
UAUCAGAUACUCCUAUCUCUACACAAAUAU